AUCGAACGCUGGCGGCAGGCCUAACACAUGCAAGUCGAGCGGGUGAAGGGAGCUUGCUCCUGGAUUCAGCGGCGGACGGGUGAGUAACGCCUAGGUAUCUUCGUGGUAGUACUGGGAAACGUCUGCUAACGGCCGCUAAUACCGCAUACGUCCUGAGGGAGCAAGGGAAGGUUCUUCCGACUCCGCGCUAUCAGAUGAGCGUAGGUCGGCUUAGCUAGGUGGUGGGGUAAAGGCCUACCGAGGCGACGAUCCGUAACUGGUCUGAGAGGAUGAUCAGUCACACUGGAACUGAGACACGGCCCAGACUCCUACGGGAGGCAGCAGUGGGGAAUCUUGCACAAUGGGCGAAAGCGUGAUCCAGCAAUGCCGCGUGAGGGAAGAAGAUCUUAGGAUUGUAAAGCGCUUUAAGUUGGGAGGAAGGGCAGUACGUUAAUACCGGGCUGUAUUGACGGUACCAACAGAAUAAGCGCCGGCUAACUUCGUG
rnacentral:rRNA from 1 species